UACGGGGGGAGCAAGCGUUGUUCGGAUUUACUGGGCGUAAAGGGCGCGUAGGCGGCCAGCACAAGUCAGUUGUGAAAUCUCCGAGCUUAACUCGGAACGGUCAACUGAUACUGUGCGGCUAGAGUGCGGAAGGGGCAACUGGAAUUCUUGGUGUAGCGGUGAAAUGCGUAGAUAUCAAGAGGAACACCUGAGGUGAAGACGGGUUGCUGGGCUGACACUGACGCUGAGGCGCGAAAGCUAGGGUAGCAAACGGG
rnacentral:rRNA from 1 species